GCUUAGUGGAGCUGGUAUAGCUUGGUCGGUAGAGCAGAAGAUCCUUAAUCUCAGGGUCGUGAGUUCCAGUAUCACACUGAGCA